rnacentral:rRNA from 1 species
AACGUAGGAGACAAGCGUUAUCCGGAGUUACUGGGCGUAAAGGGCGUGCAGGCGGUUUACUAAGUUCGUCGUGAAAGCGCCCGGCUUAACCGGGCAGGGUCGAUGGAGACUGGUGAACUGGGGGCGGUAGAGGCGUGUGGAAUUCCGGGUGUAGUGGUGAAAUGCGUAGAUAUCCGGAGGAACACCAGUGGCGAAAGCGACACGCUGGGCCGUACCUGACGCUAAGACGCGACAGCAUGGGGAGCGAACGGG